GAAACCUUCCUCCCACAGAAAGAGCUACUGACUUCAGCCUUGAUAGAAGAUAGGAGAGACAUUGUGGACAGUGAUAGUCACACGCUGAAUAACAAAACAACAAACAUCACUUUCUCUGCUGCUUUUAUUCAAAUUAAUUAUUAACGCUGGCAUCAGCAAAUUUUGAUAUUAAAUAUUGUGUUAGUUUACCCCACAGUUGUGUCUACUUCCAAUCUGUAGCCUGAUUCAGCAUCAAGCUGUCAAGAUCAGGAUUGUCCAAUGAGGCUAAUCUAUCUGUUUCAAAUGAUUUCUCUGAUAUUCUCAGCAUCAGAACAAACUGAACAUUGCAUCAUCUUACUCUACAGUUUUAUCAGGUGUCCCUUUGUCAGUUGUUUUUGAUAUUGCUGCUCUGGUUUACGGUAAAAUGAGCAGUGCUGUGAGCUGACACUAGAGGGCAAAGUUGAACUAAUAAUAAUAAUCACUAUUUUUAUCGUGCUUUUCAAUUCAAGUAACAAAGUGCUUCAUAUCAUAAAAUUAUCGAAUAAAAGUACUAACAAAGAAACAAAGACAGGAGGAAGUAACAUUUAAAAGAUAUCUAAUUCAAGUCAUAGAUAGCUAAUCAAAAGAUGUCUCAUUAAUAUCAGACAAAUAAUACUAACUUUAACUAGGAUACUGCACUUCAAUAACAGGUACAGUGAGUGAUACUGUACUUCAAUAACAGGUACAGUGAGUGAUACUGUACUCCAAUAACAGGUACAGUGAGUGAUACUGUACUUCAAUAACAGGUACAGUGAGUGAUACUGUACUUCAAUAACAGGUACAGUGAGUGAUACUGUACUCCAAUAACAGGUACAGUGAGUGAUACUGUACUUCAAUAACAGGUACAGUGAGUGAUACCGUACUUCAAUAACAGGUACAGUGAGUGAUACUGUACUUCAAUAACAGGUACAGUGAGUGAUACUGUACUUCAAUAACAGGUACAGUGAGUGAUACUGUACUUCAAUAACAGGUACAGUGAGUGAUACUGUACUUCAAUAACAGGUACAGUGAGUGAUACCGUACUUCAAUAACAGGUACAGUGAGUGAUACCGUACUUCAAUAACAGGUACAGUGAGUGAUACUGUACUUCAAUAACAGGUACAGUGAGUGAUACCGUACUUCAAUAACAGGUACAGUGAGUGAUACUGUACUUCAAUAACAGGUACAGUGAGUGAUACUGUACUUCAAUAACAGGUACAGUGAGUGAUACUGUACUUCAAUAACAGGUACAGUGAGUGAUACUGUACUUCAAUAACAGGUACAGUGAGUGAUACCGUACUUCAAUAACAGGUACAGUGAGUGAUACCGUACUUCAAUAACAGGUACAGUGAGUGAUACCGUACUUCAAUAACAGGUACAGUGAGUGAUACCGUACUUCAAUAACAGGUACAGUGAGUGAUACCGUACUUCAAUAACAGGUACAGUGAGUGAUACCGUACUUCAAUAACAGGUACAGUGAGUGAUACCGUACUUCAAUAACAGGUACAGUGAGUGAUACCGUACUUCAAUAACAGGUACAGUGAGUGAUACCGUACUUCAAUAACAGGUACAGUGAGUGAUACCGUACUUCAAUAACAGGUACAGUGAGUGAUACCGUACUCCAGUCAAGACUGAAACUAUCCUCAAACACUCAUACUACUGCACAAACAGUGUAAUGCCAGCGUACUCCACUUGUAUUCCACUUGUGUCAUGAGACAGUCAAAUGUAAAAGAGCAUAAGAGAUUGUACAGACUUACAAUCUAAUCCAUCUGAGUUGUUGUUUACUAUAGAAACAGAUUUACACGCAACAACCGAACUGUUUACCUAGAGAGAGCUAGCUCAGAACGUGCAGAACUCACGUACACACUAAGGCCCGAGCCCCAAAUAGCACCCUGUUCCCUAUAGAAUGCACUACCUUUGACCCGCCCCAAUAGGGAAUAGGGUGCCAUUUGGGACGUAGCCUAACUCUGUCCCCACAUAAAUACACUUCAGCUCCCUCUGGAGAGUGAGCAAAUACUCCCUUGACUCCAUGCCAGUCUCCAUGCCAGUCUCCAUGCCAGUUUCCUUGCCAGUCCUGUGUUUGCUGUACCAAUCUGCCAGCCCAUGUCUGUCACUGCUCCAGUAGGCACACCUGUGUGUGUGCACGUAGAUGUGUGUGUGUGUGUGGGUGUGUAUGUCCUGCCAUCUGGGCACUCCCUACCUCACACUCACCCCACUUCCUGCCUCACACACCCUACCCAGCCUUCUCCAGGAACAGCCAGUACAGGGCUGCAGGACCUGUCUGUCUGGUUAUGUGGACAAACAAAGUCAGCCAGUGGUCUACUCACAGAGACAUACUGUAUCUACAGUAGAUAGACGGAUGGGGAGAGACCGUGACUGAGACCAAGACAGAAACCGAGACCAAGACAGAGGCCAAGACAGAGACCGAGACAUAGACCCAGACCGAGACCAAGACUGAGAUCAAGACAGAGAUCAAAACAGAGAC